rnacentral:rRNA from 1 species
CCUACGGGUGGCAGCAGUGGGGGAUAUUGCACAAUGGGGGGAACCCUGAUGCAGCGACGCCGCGUGGGUGAUGGAGCGUUUCGGCGCGUAAAGCCCUAUCGGCAGGGAAGAAGAUGACGGUACCUAACCAAUAAGCCCCGUCUAACUACGUGCCAGCAGCCGCGGUAAUACGGAGGGGGCAAGCGUUAUCCGGAGUUACUGGGUGUAAAGGGCGCGGAGACGGGAAUGCAAGCCAGGAGUGAAAGCCGGGGGCUUAACCCCAGGACUGCUUUUGAAACUGCAUGGCUGGAGUACGGGAGGGGCAGGUGGAAUUCCUGGUGUAGGGGUGAAAUGCGUAGAUAUCAGGAGGAAUACUGGUGGCGAAGGCGGCCUGCUGGACCGUGACUGACGCUGAGGCCCGAAGGCGUGGGGAGCAAACAGGAUUAGAUACCCGAGUAGUC